GCGAAGUGGUUGAUGCCAUGCUUCCAGGAAAAGUCUCUAAGCUUCAGUUACACAGGAAUCGUACCCGAAACCGACACAGGUGGUCAGGUCGAGUAGACCAAGGCGCUUGAGAGAACUCUGCUGAAGGAACUAGGCAAAAUGGUACCGUAACUUCGGGAGAAGGUACGCUGUUGUUGGUGAUGGAACUCGCUUCCUGAGCUGACGACAGCCGCAGAAACCAGGCCGCUGCAACUGUUUAUUAAAAACAUAGCACUCUGCAAACACGAAAGUGGACGUAUAGGGUGUGAUGCCUGCCCGGUGCUGGAAGGUUAAUUGAUGGGGUUAGCGUAAGCGAAGCUCUUGAUCGAAGCCCCAGUAAACGGCGGCCGUAACUAUAACGGUCCUAAGGUAGCGAAAUUCCUUGUCGGGUAAGUUCCGACCUGCACGAAUGGCAUAAUGAUGGCGGCGCUGUCUCCAGCAGAGGCUCAGUGAAAUCGAAAUCGCUGUGAAGAUGCAGUGUACCCGCGGCUAGACGGAAAGACCCCGUGAACCUUUACUGCAGCUUGACACUGAACUUUGACCUUACUUGUGUAGGAUAGGUGGGAGGCUUUGAAGCUGGAACGCUAGUUCCAGUGGAGCCGUCCUUGAAAUACCACCCUGGUAAUGUUGAGGUUCUAACUCUGUCCCGUGAUCCGGGACGAGGACCGUGUCUGGUGGGUAGUUUGACUGGGGCGGUCUCCUCCUAAAGAGUAACGGAGGAGUACGAAGGUGCGCUCAGCGUGGUCGGAAAUCACGCGUAGAGUAUAAAGGCAAAAGCGCGCUUAACUGCGAGACCCACAAGUCGAGCAGGUACGAAAGUAGGUCUUAGUGAUCCGGUGGUUCUGUAUGGAAGGGCCAUCGCUCAACGGAUAAAAGGUACUCUGGGGAUAACAGGCUGAUACCGCCCAAGAGUUCAUAUCGACGGCGGUGUUUGGCACCUCGAUGUCGGCUCAUCUCAUCCUGGGGCUGAAGCAGGUCCCAAGGGUAUGGCUGUUCGCCAUUUAAAGAGGUACGCGAGCUGGGUUUAGAACGUCGUGAGACAGUUCGGUCCCUAUCUACCGUGGGCGCUGGAAAUUUGAGAGGAUCUGCUCCUAGUACGAGAGGACCAGAGUGGACGAACCUCUGGUGUACCGGUUGUGACGCCAGUCGCAUCGCCGGGUAGCUAUGUUCGGAAGGGAUAACCGCUGAAAGCAUCUAAGCGGGAAGCCUACCUCAAGAUAAGAUUUCCCUAGGACUUUAUGUCCUCUAAAGAGCCGUUCGAGACUAGGACGUUGAUAGGUUGGAUGUGGAAGCAUAGUGAUAUGUGAAGCUGACCAAUACUAAUUGCUCGUGAGGCUUGACUAUACAACACCCAAGCAGUUG
rnacentral:rRNA from 1 species